rnacentral:tRNA from 2 species
UGCCCGGUAGCACAAUCUGGCAGUUGCGCCCGGCUCUGGACCGGGAGGUUGUUGGUUCGAUUCCAGCUCGGGCAGC